GGCACGGUGGCUUAGUGGUUAGCAAAUUUCUGUCACACAUCCAGGGUUGGGGGUUCGAUUCCUGCCUCUGCCC